rnacentral:rRNA from 1 species
CCUACGGGUGGCAGCAGUCGAGAAUCAUUCACAAUGGGGGAAACCCUGAUGGUGCGACGCCGCGUGGGGGAAUGAAGGUCUUCGGAUUGUAAACCCCUGUCAUGUGGGAGCAAAUUAAAAAGAUAGUACCACAAGAGGAAGAGACGGCUAACUCUGUGCCAGCAGCCGCGGUAAUACAGAGGUCUCAAGCGUUGUUCGGAAUCACUGGGCGUAAAGCGUGCGUAGGCGGUUUUGUAAGUCGUGUGUGAAAGGCGCGGGCUCAACCCGCGGACGGCACAUGAUACUGCGAGACUAGAGUAAGGGAGGGGGAACUGGAAUUCUCGGUGUAGCAGUGAAAUGCGUAGAUAUCGAGAGGAACACUCGUGGCGAAGGCGGGUUCCUGGACAUUAACUGACGCUGAGGCACGAAGGCCAGGGGAGCGAAAGGGAUUAGAUACCCCAGUAGUC